rnacentral:rRNA from 1 species
GACGAACGCUGGCGGCGUGCUUAACACAUGCAAGUCGAACGAAGAGCGAUGGAAGCUUGCUUCUAUCAAUCUUAGUGGCGAACGGGUGAGUAACGCGUAAUCAACCUGCCCUUCAGAGGGGGACAACAGUUGGAAACGACUGCUAAUACCGCAUACGAUCUAAUCUCGGCAUCGAGGAUAGAUGAAAGGUGGCCUCUACAUGUAAGCUAUCACUGAAGGAGGGGAUUGCGUCUGAUUAGCUAGUUGGAGGGGUAACGGCCCAACAAGGCGAUGAUCAGUAGCCGGUCUGAGAGGAUGAACGGCCACAUUGGGACUGAGACACGGCCCAGACUCCUACGGGAGGCUGCAGUGGGGAAUCUUCCGCAAUGGACGAAAGUCUGACGGAGCAACGCCGCGUGAGGGAUGACGGCCUUCGGGUUGUAAAGCUCUGUUAAUCGGGACGAAAGGCCUUCUUGCGAAUAGUGAGAAGGAUUGACGGUACCGGAAUAGAAAGCCACGGCUAACUACGUG